AAAUUGAAGAGUUUGAUCAUGGCUCAGAUUGAACGCUGGCGGCAGGCCUAACACAUGCAAGUUGAGCGGAAACGAGUUAUC
rnacentral:rRNA from 1 species